rnacentral:hammerhead_ribozyme from 1 species
AUCCAGCUGACGAGUCCCAAAUAGGAUGAAACGUGCGUAUUGGAU